UUGAACUAAAAAUGGCAACAUUUGUUUGUGGGAAUGUAAGUUGGGGUAGACAAAACUUAGAUACAUACCAAUAUACAUACAUGUGUGUAUAUUACGGUUCCAUUAAUAAAACCAUAAAUGCUAUAAAAAAAAAACAAAAAAAAACACCAGUUUCAAC